rnacentral:rRNA from 1 species
AGAGUUUGAUCCUGGCUCAGAUUGAACGCUGGCGGCAUGCCUUACACAUGCAAGUCGAACGGCAGCGCGGACUUCGGUCUGGCGGCGAGUGGCGAACGGGUGAGUAAUACAUCGGAACGUACCCUGUUGUGGGGGAUAACUAGUCGAAAGAUUAGCUAAUACCGCAUACGACCUGAGGGUGAAAGUGGGGGACCGCAAGGCCUCACGCAGCAGGAGCGGCCGAUGUCUGAUUAGCUAGUUGGUGGGGUAAAGGCCCACCAAGGCGACGAUCAGUAGCUGGUCUGAGAGGACGAUCAGCCACACUGGGACUGAGACACGGCCCAGACUCCUACGGGAGGCAGCAGUGGGGAAUUUUGGACAAUGGGGGCAACCCUGAUCCAGCAAUGCCGCGUGUGUGAAGAAGGCCUUCGGGUUGUAAAGCACUUUUGUCCGGAAAGAAAUCGCGCUGGUUAAUACCUGGCGUGGAUGACGGUACCGGAAGAAUAAGCACCGGCUAACUACGUGCCAGCAGCCGCGGUAAUACGUAGGGUGCGAGCGUUAAUCGGAAUUACUGGGCGUAAAGCGUGCGCAGGCGGUUUUGUAAGACAGGCGUGAAAUCCCCGGGCUUAACCUGGGAAUUGCGCUUGUGACUGCAAGGCUAGAGUGCGUCAGAGGGGGGUAGAAUUCCACGUGUAGCAGUGAAAUGCGUAGAGAUGUGGAGGAAUACCGAUGGCGAAGGCAGCCCCCUGGGACGUGACUGACGCUCAUGCACGAAAGCGUGGGGAGCAAACAGGAUUAGAUACCCUGAUAGUCCACGCCCUAAACGAUGUCAACUAGUUGUUGGGGAUUCAUUUUCUCAGUAACGUAGCUAACGCGUGAAGUUGACCGCCUGGGGAGUACGGUCGCAAGAUUAAAACUCAAAGGAAUUGACGGGGACCCGCACAAGCGGUGGAUGAUGUGGAUUAAUUCGAUGCACGCGAAAAAC